AUACGGAGGGUGCAAGCGUUACUCGGAAUCACUGGGCGUAAAGCGCGCGCAGGCGGUCUUUUAAGUUGGAUGUGAAAGCCUACGGCUCAACCGUAGAACUGCAUCCAAAACUAUUAGACUAGAGUGUGGGAGAGGAAGAUGGAAUUAGUUGUGUAGGGGUAAAAUCCGUAGAGAUAACUAGGAAUACCAAAAGCGAAGACAAUCUUCUGGAACACUACUGACGCUGAGGCGCGAAAGCGUGGGGAGCAAACAGGAUUAGAAACCCGGGUAGUCC
rnacentral:rRNA from 1 species